ACUCGCCACGCACGUAAGCUCCUCUCCCGCGGUCCAAAGGAAGCACUUAAGGAAAGGAAAUCCAGCACAAUGCUAAACCUGCCCUUCUGUCGUUUUUUGUUGGUUUUUUUUUCCUUUUUAUUUAACCGCUGGGUUUGUUCCCAGCUCUGCAGGGAGACGCUGUGCAUGCUGCCACUGCAAAAAAGAGGGCAGAAUAUUUCCCGAGCGCCGUCCUACAACUCACGCCUCCGUAGGUUGGGAAUGGUGAGACGUCCUCAUGUCACCCACCCAGGACAGGAAAGCCACCACUCUGCACUCCUGGCGUUGGACUGUGAGCACACAGCAUCAACACUUAUUACGACUGCUGUCUGGAGGAGACGCGGCACCCAGCGAGAUUAAUUAAAUAAGCACUAUUCUGCUUUCCCUAUCUUCUUAUCAUCUAUGCAUGCAGAACAAUUUUCUGGAAAGCAAAGAGCUACGGUGUCACAUACCAGAAAAACAGCUUCCUCUUUUGAAGGAAAGCACAGUGAUAAUGCUGAUGAAGCACUGAAGAUUCCUGCACUCCAGCAGAUCAGCUAGCAUUUUCUGUGAGAGCUGCUCCCAUGAAAAAAACCAACAUACCUUGCCAUGCUCACAGAGCUGGGAAGAGAUUUCUUUCCAUUAUGUUUAGUAAGAUACCAUCUGAGCACUAAAAAUGAAAAGUAUAUAAACUUACCACUGCAUUAUCAGGAAAAGCAUCAGAAAUCAAGCUUAGGUGUUGCUGAGCAGUCAGCACCUCAGCUCCUUCCUGGCACAAAAUCCAUGCAGCAUGCAGCAGGUACCAGAAGCACCUCUCCUGUGCUAGUCCUACCCGUAUGCUCACAGAUGUCUUCUGAAUCUGCUACCAACAAAAGAAACCACAAUAAGACCGUUUCCCUGAUUCUUCAUAACUGAGUCAGUAGGUCAACAAUUCCUUCGUUUUAGGAGCCAAACCAAUUCCCUUAAACACCCCCUGUUUUUUUCUCCCUGAUGGAGAAGCCAACUGUCUGCUGCCAGUGGCAGCUCAGCUGCUCGCAGAACAGAACCAAGCUCCAACAAACCAGCUUGCCCUGGCGCAGACGUUCAUCCUGACACAGCUCCAUUUUGUCUCUCACGUCUGGGAGAAGCCACGAGCAAUUACUUACGUUUUCAAAUCGAGCCACAGGCAGGGAAGUGCUCCGCGUGCACCUUGCAUGCUGCCACCAGCUCCUGCAGCCCACAUCCUCACUGCCCAUGGCAGCACACGGUGGCACGAGGAAGGGAGCAUCACCAAAUGCCAGACCUGCUCCCGCUCCAUCCUUCUCCACACCAACACAGAAUAUCCUGCCCGUGCCUCUCAUGCGCUCAGCUCAAACAAAGAGAAAGCUCGGAAGCUGCUCUCCUUCUUCCCAAUCCAUGACUCAAAUGUCUGGUUGAAAUUGGUUUCGUAAUAACCCUUUAGUACCACCUACUCACAUCACCAAGUGCUUCUUUCAGCAAACGCGCAGGAAAUCACCAACGAGUGCCAAUGGAUCUACUAUUCCAAGAACUCGCUCUUUCGGUUAUUCCUCCAUCAUUUGGGAACCAAGACACUUUUACUUUCCCUAUCACACCGGGUAUUUUUUUUUUUAUAGAAGAGCCUUAAACUGCGAUCCCAUAAAAUACUUGGUUGAUAAAUCACCAGCUGAAAACUCGCCCACUGUAAAGAAAAGAAUUUCACAACACUCAUUCCAGAAAACACAGUAACUCCUUUCUGGAAAUAAUUCACCGGACAAAAAUCAAAAGGGCAGAAUUAAUGUUCGGAGACCGUUUGCAUCCUGCACAGCAGACAAAGACGGUGCAGCGAGCCACGUGCCUCUGUGACUGUCACCAGCAGACCCCUGAAUCACCCAACCACACGAUGAGUCGCUGUGAAUGGUUUCCUCUUCCUCUGCACUCCCCCAGCGGGGCUCGGCGCUGCUGGAGGAUCCUGAGCCUAAUCCUGACUUUGAUGGGGAUUCCAAAACUCAUCUCCUAAGGCUGCAGUCACCAGCGGACGCCGCAGACAUCUGCUCCUCCUGCUUUGAGUCACCUGUCAGCAGUACAAAAGGAAAUUGCUCAGCGGUGAGCACGUGGAAGCCCAGUGCUAAAGUGCAGAAAUACAAAAUACCGGAGUGCUCACAUCACCCUCAAGGAAAAGUACUUGGUUCUGAAGCACUGAUAUUCAAAGAGGUGAAACUUGGUAAUAAUGAAUAGGCGCCAGCAAGCCUUACAGCUCAGCCUGCAGUGCCAGCGUCGUUGAGGCAGCAAUGGAAGGGGGAACAAAAUAAAAGAAGACAUUUCACAAACACUGGACCUGCACUGUGCGUGACAAGAAAAAUAAUUGAAACAACUGAGAGAACUAAUCUGUGGCUGCUUAGGAAGUUAACUCUUCGAAGGAAAUGAUUAAGUAAGAGAACAAAAGCCAAGUGUUAUGUUUAUCAAACAAGGAAACCUCACAAAUGAGCAUGCCUGCUCGUGGCAGCGGGGUCACAGCACUGACAGACCGCACAGGAGCGGCUCCCACCACGCUACCAUCCCUGAGGUUAGUAAGCAGCUCCUAUCUCAAGGAAAUACACUUUUUAAGAAAUGCAAAGCAUUGCUUUGCCAGAACGAAAUGCUACAGGAAGGCAUCCGCAACGUCCUGUGCCUUUAUGAAAUUCCCUUUACGCAAUUCCUGCUCAGCAUAAAACUCACUACGAUUUCAGCAAGGAACCCCGGUUAAGCAGGACAGUAUUUACAAAUUCAGGCCAGAAAAGCUCGCUUUUGUGUCGUUCCAUCACAAAUACAGCGCUCACAAAUUCAGCCGUCCAAAACAAGACUCCAACUUUGCAAAAAACAAAACAAAACAAACAGGUGAGUAAAAAAAGCAAUUAGAGCACAUCGCGCUUCGAAUCUUCAGGAAUUUGAUAAAAGGAAAUUCAUUCUAAAGAUUUAAUUGUCUAACCUGCUUCUCCAUGCUGAAGGAGCCAGACCUGGUGCCUCUAGAGGGAGGGCGAGAGGCACUUCUUGUUCCUGUUUCAUAUCUGAGUUCUUCCCUGCGCGGGAGAUGAUCUAAUUAUUCAACACGUCAGUAUAUCGCUUCACCCCUUCUUGCACGUCUACUGACAUUAACAUAUUUUAACAAUUCAGCUCAUUAGGAAGGAGGGGAGGCACUGAAUGACAAAUCGUCCUUACAAAUCCACCACAAAGGCACGAGCCUUCCUGCGUUUUGUCCCGCACUUAGCUCAAACUCUAUGGGAGCACACGACAAACGAUGCUGGAUGCAAGCUGGCAACAAAGAUCAGGCAACACAGCCCCUGUGCUGCUGGUCAGAAUUACACAUACUUGUUCAAAACAUGAGCCCCAUCCAUGAGCUCUGGCCAGAGUAAGCAAGCUCUUGCCCGCUUAGGAAGCACAGACCUCCUGGAGCCCAUCUUCCCAUUGUAUUCCCAUUGUUCCCAAGCUCGGUGCUCAGCAGGGACUGCCAGGGAGAGGGGCUGUCACACCUCGCCUAGAAUUGGGCAUAGGCAAUGAAAGCAAGGGAUCAGACCACACAAGGCUGCUGCUGACAGACUUGAAACGGAUCUGAAACAAUGCUGAAAUCCAAAUAUAACAUGCAUGGCACCUGCAUUUGCAUGUGUGGGAUGCUGAAGGAUUCCAAGGCUUUUUAUCAAAUGUCCUUGUUACAGCAAAAGCAGAGAGUCACUGGAUUCUCAGCUCCUUCUGCAUGCAAUGAUUUCAGAGAUGAUGUUCUUCUCUUUCAGACCUCGCCUCGACCUACAACAACACAUCCACUCACGACUGGCUGAAGCAGACUUCACAGCAUAUACUAAACCUACCAGUACAUAGGAAAGUUCUUCAGCGAGUUUCUAUAUAUCAACAUUUUUUUGUUUUUUAUUACAACUAUUUCUAUGAGCCCAUUCACAGUCGGCUCCUUUACUGCAAUCGAACAUGAUGGAUUGGUAGCCAGCUAAUGCUUAUGUAAGGCCUUCAAGGAAGCAGAAAAUUAUUUCAUAUAAAAUCAAGCCUGUAUAGCAAUGGAAUUGUACUACUACAUAUUAAAUAUUAUUAAUAAGAGACCUGCCUUGCAGUCAAAUGCUACAUCCCAUUAGUAUAGCCAAAUAAUUCCUGCCAUAAAAGCUAACUCUUCUCAGUCAAAAGAAUGAUGAUAGCUAAGAAGCACCUGCUUUUUUGAUUUAAAAACACCACACUUCCUAAUAAAAACAAACAUAAAGAGGCAGGAAGAGUAUAUCUUUAUGAUUUGCCUAAGUCCGAUUUAACUUUGGUCAAAAAUAAAAAUAAAGAAAACAAUUUUCAAGCGUGUGACGUAAA